ACUCAAAUGAAUUGACGGGGACCCGCACAACCGGUGGAGCGUGUGGUUCAAUUCGAGACAAAACGAAGAACCUCACCAGGGCUUGACAUAAUACCGUUUAUUUCCCAAGAAACUGGGAGAAAUCCGCAAGGAUGGUAUUACAGGUGCUGCAUGGCUGUCGUCAGCUCGUGCCGUGAGGUGUUCCCUUAAGUGGGGAAACGAGCGCAACCCGCACCAAAUGUUAAAUAUUCAUUUGGAACAGUUCCAGUUUUACUGGAAAGGAAGGAGCGGCGGACGUCAAGUCAGCAUGGUCCUUACGCCCUGGGCUACACACACACUACAAUGGCGAAAAACAGUGGGCAGCAAGCUAGCAAUAGCAAGCAAAUCCCUUAAAUUUCGCCUCAGUUCAGAUUGGGGUCUGAAACCCGACCCCAUGAAGUCGGAAUCGGUAGUAAUCGCAGGUCAGCAAACUGCGGUGAAUACGUUCUCGGGUCUUGUACACACCGCCCGU
rnacentral:rRNA from 1 species